UACGUAGGUGGCAAGCGUUGUCCGGAUUUACUGGGCGUAAAGAGCGCGCAGGCGGUCGUGCAAGUCGCGUGUGAAAGCCCUCGGCUCAACUGGGGAGGGUCACGCGAUACUGCUCGACUUGAAGGCAGGAGAGGGAAGUGGAAUUCCCGGUGUAGUGGUGAAAUGCGUAGAUAUCGGGAGGAACACCAGUGGCGAAGGCGACUUCCUGGCCUGUUCUUGACGCUGAGGCGCGAAAGCUAGGGUAGCAAACGGG
rnacentral:rRNA from 1 species